rnacentral:rRNA from 1 species
AGUGAACGCUGGCGGUAGGCCUAACACAUGCAAGUCGAACGGCAGCACAGUAAGAGCUUGCUCUUACGGGUGGCGAGUGGCGGACGGGUGAGGAAUACAUCGGAAUCUACUUUUUCGUGGGUGAUAACGUAGGGAAACUUACGCUAAUACCGCAUACGACCUACGGGUGAAAGCAGGGGAUCUUCGGACCUUUCGCGAUUGAAUGAGCCGAUGUCGGAUUAGCUAGUUGGCGGGGUAAAGGCCCACCAAGGCGACGAUCCGUAGCUGGUCUGAGAGGAUGAUCAGCCACACUGGAACUGAGACACGGUCCAGACUCCUACGGGAGGCAGCAGUGGGGAAUAUUGGACAAUGGGCGAAAGCCUGAUCCAGCCAUACCGCGUGGGUGAAGAAGGCCUUCGGGUUGUAAAGCCCUUUUGUUGGGAAAGAAAAGCAGCAGGUUAAUACCCCGCUGUUCUGACGGUACCCAAAGAAUAAGCACCGGCUAACUUCGUG